rfam:Oleiphilus sp. HI0009 HI0009_c1997, whole genome shotgun sequence.
GCGAAAGUGGCGGAAUUGGUAGACGCGCUGGAUUUAGGUUCCAGUAUCGCAAGAUGUGAGAGUUCGAGUCUCUCCUUUCGCA